UUGGUACUCUUAUUACUGACUUUGUUUUUAAUAUAAAUUGAAUUUUAGAAAUUACAGCUAUGGAAUACUUAAACAUAAAAUAAUUAGUUUUUCUUACCUUUUGUAUAAUGGUUAAACUAAAAUAUGGUUGAAUAACAUUUCCCGAAAUGAGAAGAUCUAUUUAUUAACUUGUUUUAGAAUUCAUAACUUACGUAGUAAUGUGGGUUGAAGAUUUUUAAAUAGGGACGAAAUGUCUUUCAAUUCUUAUGAUAUCUGGAAGUUCAUGAAAAGCAUUUAGUGCAGGAAAGUGAGGUAUGAAGUGCUUAGAUUUCAUAUUUUUAGGAGUUUAUAUGCCUAUUCAAGUCUUCUAGGAUUAAACCCCCUGAUGACCCUAGAAAAAUAAAUUUGUUUAUAGUAUUUCUCUAAAAUUCUAAUGAACAUUUUGUUUUAAUAAUUUUAUAAACAUAUAAUGUUUAAAUUAGUAAUAAUUUUUAAAUUUUAUUAAUUUUAUAAAUUAAAUGACCUAAAGGAACUCGGCAAAAAUAGACUUGGACUGUUUAACAAAAACAUAGCCAUUAGAUGAUAUUACAUGGUUUUACCUGCCCAAUGUUAUAUAUGAAUGGCCGCGGUACUCUGACCGUGCUAAGGUAGCGUAAUCAGUUGACCUUUAAAUGAGGUCAGGAAUGAAUGGAAUAACCGGGUUUAGCUGUCUCUGUGUCACUAUAUUGAAUUUACUAUCUAAGUGAAAAAGCUUAGGGUUAAAAAAGGGAGGAGAAGACCCUUAGAAUUUUUUUUAAAAGAAAAUAAAAUUUUCUUACAAUUUUAUUGGGGCGAUAAAGAAAUAAUUAAAACUUUCUUUUAUUACAAGCCGAUUAUAUUAAGUGAGAAUAAAUUACCUGAGGGAUAACAGCAUAAUUCUAUAAAUGAGUUUGUGACCUCGAUGUUGGACUAGGAAACUAGCAGGCUAGCCGUUUGCUGUGUUAGGUUCUGUUCGAACUUUUAUUCCUACAUGAUCUGAGUUCAGACCGGCGUAAGCCAGGUCAGAUUCUAUCUUUUUAAAAUUAUGGCUUUAGUACGAAAGGACCGAGUUGUAUUAUGUUUAAUAUAUUGACUUGGCAGAAUUAAUGUGAUUGAC
rnacentral:rRNA from 1 species